rnacentral:rRNA from 1 species
ACGCAAUAGAUACCCGGUAGUCCACGCCGUAAACGAUGGACGCUCGGCCGCGUGGACGCUAUCAAACGCGUCUGGGGGCCUUAAGCUGACGCGGCAAGCGUCCCGCCUGGGAACUACGAGCGCAAGCUUAAAACUCAAAGGAAUUGACGGGGGCCCGGCACAAGCAGCGGAGCGUGUGGUUUAAUUCGACGCAACACGCAACACCUUACCCAGGUUGGACAUGCAGCUGCAAGCCGGUCAAAGCCGGUCGCCUUCGAGGGUGCUGCACAGAUGCUGCAUGGCUGUCGUCAGCUCGUGUCGUGAGAUGUUGGGUUAAGUCCCGCAACGAGCGCAACCCUACGGUCAGUUACUUGUGUCUGGCCGGACC